GACGAACGCUGGCGGCGUGCUUAACACAUGCAAGUCGAACGGGAAGACAUGAAGAGCUUGCUCUUUAUGAAAUCCAGUGGCAAACGGGUGAGUAACACGUAAACAACCUGCCUUCAGGAUGGGGACAACAGACGGAAACGACUGCUAAUACCGAAUACGAUUCUUGAGUCGCAUGACACAAGAAAGAAAGGGUGGCCUCUACAAGUAAGCUAUCGCCUGAAGAGGGGUUUGCGUCCGAUUAGGUAGUUGGUGAGGUAACGGCCCACCAAGCCGACGAUCGGUAGCCGGUCUGAGAGGAUGAACGGCCACAUUGGAACUGAGACACGGUCCAGACUCCUACGGGAGGCAGCAGUGGGGAAUCUUCCGCAAUGGGCGAAAGCCUGACGGAGCAACGCCGCGUGAGUGAAGACGGCCUUCGGGUUGUAAAACUCUGUGAUUCGGGACGAAAGAUAAGUAGACGAAUAAUCUGCAUAAGUGACGGUACCGAAAAAGCAAGCCACGGCUAACUACGUGCCAGCAGCCGCGGUAAUACGUAGGUGGCAAGCGUUGUCCGGAAUUAUUGGGCGUAAAGCGCGCGCAGGCGGCUACUUAAGUCCAUCUUAAAAGUGCGGGGCUUAACCCCGUGAUGGGAUGGAAACUGAGAAGCUGGAGUGUCGGAGAGGAAAGUGGAAUUCCUAGUGUAGCGGUGAAAUGCGUAGAGAUUAGGAAGAACACCGGUGGCGAAGGCGACUUUCUGGACGACAACUGACGCUUAGGCGCGAAAGCGUGGGGAGCAAACAGG
rnacentral:rRNA from 1 species